rnacentral:rRNA from 1 species
AUGAAUGGGGGAAACCUGAUCAUACAUGCCGCGUGGGUGAAGAACGCUUCGGUUUGUAAAGCCCUUUCGGUUGGGACGAAAAGGUUUGUGCUAACACCACGAACCAAUGACGGUACCAACAGAAGAAGCACCGGCUAACUACGUGCCAGCAGCCGCGGUAAUACGUAGGGUGCGGGCGUUAAUCGGAAUUACUGGGCGUAAAGCGUGCGCAGGCGGUUUGCUAAGACAGGUGUGACAUCCCCGGGCUUAACCUGGGAACUGCGCUUGUAACUGGCAAGCUAGAGUGUGGCAGAGGGGGGUGGAAUUCCACGUGUAGCAGUGAAAUGCGUAGAUAUGUGGAGGAACACCGAUGGCGAAGGCAGCCCCCUGGGCUAACACUGACGCUCAUGCACGAAAGCGUGGGGAGCAAACAGGAUUAGAUACCCUGGUAGUCCACGCCCUAAACUAUGUCAACUGGUUGUCGGGGAAGCAAUUCCUUGGUAACGAAGCUAACGCGUGAAGUUGACCGACUGGGGAGUACGGCCGCAAGGUUAAAACUCAAAGGAAUUGACGGGGACCCGCACAAGCGGUGGAUUAUUGUGGAUUAAUACGAUGCAACGCGAAAAAACUUAACUACCCUUGACAUG